AAUUAAAGUGAUAUUUAAACCUUAUAGGGUUAUCCAGUCCUAGAUUGCUGGCGCUGUUUAUAGAACUGAGUGCCGGAAUAGCGGACAAGAUUGAAGCCUACAUUUUAUUUGCUGCAGCAGACUCAUAUGGUUUUACUUGGAUAGGACAUGGCUGAGGUUCCAAUUAUGAAGUAAACCCUUUUUUCUCUCACCCAAUUGAAAUUUGAAAAUAUGUUUGGCUAGGUAUUCAUGAAUACUUUCUCUUUUGCUUCUUUCAGGUUCUUCCACCUUUGGUACUAUCCUCAAGCGAAUAUUGAAAUCUUUGGCCAGGUACAUGAUAUUACAAUCAGUUCCCACUAAAUGUUGAUGAUUUCUAAUUAUGCUCCUCAAACUGAGGACUCUCCCUAGAAAAUUAUGUACCUGUGCUGUCUAUUCCAUUAAGUAGUACUAAUAAAUAGCAUCAAUUUGCAGCCUUUGACGGACACAUUGUGGCAAGGCAUUAUAAUAAGGCCUUCUAGAUCAAUAUAUCAUACUC
rnacentral:lncRNA from 1 species